UGUUAGCAAGUUUACUUUUAGAAGAGGUACUUUAACAUAGAUUAAAGCCAGUAUUUGACCUACCAUAAUCAAAGGUAGUAACUGUUGUCUUUUAGCAUACUGGGCCUCUGGAAGUCAGACAGCUUUUAUCUUGGUGUUGUGGACAGUGGUGAAAUGUGUUGUAUCCAGCUGAUAAAUGCAAAAAGCAGCAACAGACUAGCGAGGAAUUCUCCCUGCAGUCUAAUGAUCUGUUAUUCAUCGCUGUUUAUAAGUGCCCUUACUGUAUGUUUGCUGUGCUGUCAUGGAAACAGCCAUUCAGCCAACCAAUUAAGAGAAAAUUAAAAUGACGUUGUCAAGAUAAGCAUAUGUUAGAAAUUAAUUUAUUAUCUGUUUCACAAAAAAAACCCCAACAAAACAACAAACCCACAAUAUUUUUAAUUCUUAAGAAUCCUGUUUGCAUUUUUCUUUUUGGAAAAAAAUUAAGACAUAUUCCAUAAAUGUACAAUCCAAGCACUAGCUAUGUGAAGUCUGUGCCUUCAUACAACCUAUAUACAAUGGAUCAUGAGUGACUUUACAAGUGCAUUUAAUAGAAUUACUUCAUUAUACUUUACUAUGAUGGUUUUCAAGUCCUCACAUAGGAGUAAUAGACUCCACCUAUGUCUGGAUGCUGAUUUUUUUUUUAUUUUUAUUUUUUAUUUUUUUUUACAUGGCAAAAAACCACAGUAGUGCCACCAUGGCACGUUGGUACAUCAUGCCACAAAUAGUCGUGAGACUUGUUAGUAGCUUCUCCAAAGGUGCAGCUUCAUAACAGCAUUGGAAGUGCUAGGGCCCUGCCUUCCACUCUGCAUUCCCUCUCCAGCUGCAUCCCUGCUUGCUCCCUUGCACUGGUGUAGGUAAACAUUUAUCUCCCUGUGAUGUGAAGGAGAAGCACCAGUUGGGUUCCUUUUCUCCCUGAACCUGCUCAGAUGAGCACCAGCCCCAUCGCAUAGUAAAUGGGGAGAAUACCUGAAACGACAUCCUCAUCUUAUGAUGUGGCUCCACAACACAACUGCAAGGAUGAGAAGGCCUCCCCUAUGAAGUGUGCUGCAGUUUAAGCUGUCUCAGCUAUCUAACUCUUAAAAACUGUAUUACUCCCUUUACUGGAAAAUUGUUCUAGUCCAUCACCCUCAGUGGAGCUCCUUAAGAUAAGCAGUCUUCUCUGCGACAUCUCCAGUGUGUCCUCUCUUGCCACAGAAGCAUAUUCUCUCCCCAGCUCAUGUGGAGGCAGGCAGAUAUGUAAUGGUAGAGUCAAGCUGUGCAAUUUUCCCUCCUAAGGGAUUCUCUGCUAGCACUUUGUGGCCCCAUUAGAGCUUCUCGUUGCUGCUUUAGCAGUGCAAAAAGCUGUGCUGCACAAGGGAAUCUACCCAAUAGACUCUUACUAAAAUAUCACUCUCAUGAAGACAACAGAAAAGCCACCUCCAAAGUCACUAGAGUCAAACUGUAAAACUACACAGAAAAUAAGAGGAUAUCAAAGCCUGGAUGGAUAAAUCUUCUUGUGCUAUUCUUGUAUUCAGAUGAAGAAGGGGAAACAAUAAAUCAGUGCUAAUGUGCAUGGAGACCUGGAAUGUGCUGCAUCUUUCUCCAGUGAUACAUGGUUGAGAAAACAGCUGAUGAAAGUCAUUAUUUAUAGCAAGUAUAAAAAACAGUGCUAGUUAGAACUCAAUAGCUGUCACCAUCAUUUUAGCAAAAGCUUGUGAGAGUUACACCAAUUUGAUGGUGUCUUAAAGUGAGCUGAACUGUAGAGAACUGCAGUUUAGUUUCAGAUACCAAGAAAAUAAUCAGUAACAGUAGUAAUCAAAAUGAAUGAACCCUAGUGACUGCAGAGCUGUCAGCAUCUUUUUCCCUCCUGCUCCAGCUGAUCUCAAAUAUGACAGUACUGAAGAAGAAUCCACUACAACUACCAAGUAUGGUACAGUCUAAAUGAGACUUUCUACUUAUUCUCUCACUCACCUGGGAGUACUAAACCUUAUCCACAGAAUACAGAAAUCUUAAAUCUUAAAAAAUCAUACAAAUUAAGAUUUUUUUAAACUAUCACUUGGUUUUACACCUGUUUUUAUGGAUGUAUUUUGGUUUUGUUUAUGCUAUUACCAAAGUUCAAUGUCCAUAACACUCAGCCACACCAAGUGUCCUAACCCAUUCAGAACAGAUAAUGUUGGCUUAAUUGUAUCUCCAUACUGUAUGUUCAUUCCUGCAGUGGCUUGUUUUCCUCACUAUCUUAAUGAAUAAUAUUGCUGGAAUAUGUUUUACUUAUCCCUUCUUCCAAUUUCAAGCACACUCUUGCUUUAAACUUGCCUUAACCCACAGAUGUUUUUUCAGCAGCAGUCUAAAAUGCACUGAUACAGCAGCAUCACUUUACUUCAGGAACAGAACAGUGCAAUUUAUGCCCCUACAACAAAGUUCUCCUCCAGUCCCAACAUACCUCUUUGGAUCACUUUAGUCCUUUCCUGUUGUGUCCCAUGAUCUUCUUCAAAUAACUUCCACUGAUGGUCCCCACUUUCAGAAGCUUCAGAUAUCUGUGUCACUCUUUUAUCAAACAACACAGAUGCUGAAUUUAUUCCAAAAGGUAACUCAAGAAGUCUCUAGUGACUUUAUGUGACUUUCAAAGCACUAAACAUACUAGGCUCAUCUAAUGUAAGACAUCAUACCUGCAGCUUGCCUCUGAUUCAGAAGUGCUUUGCGUCUUAGAAGCGUUGAACUCAUCUAAUAAUGUCUGGAUGUGUGCAAGUCUUCAGGAGCCACAUAAAUCUUAAACUUUGGUCUGGAUUCUUCAUAAUGCAUCAGCUGGCAGAUGAAGAGUUGCUCCCAGGUUUUCAAAGUACACAAAAGAAUACACAGAUAUCUGAGCUGGGAGGUCUGACUGACUAUGAGCAGCUGCAAUGAGAUUCCUCUGAAGAAGAGCAGCAAGGGACAGAAGAUUUGCAGACCUUCAACAGCAGGACCUCAUGCCUAAAGGACCAUCCCAAGUAUUUCCUUUUACGGCAGGAGUCCAGGUCUGUUUCCUGCACAGAGGAGGUCUGCUUGGAGAAUAGGACUAGGGAGCCUUGUGGAAAUAGUUCUCUAAAGAGUGGAAAGAGGGAACACAACAGUGGAUGAUUUACUGAAAUAAAAAGUCCUUUCAUUUAAAUAAAUUUCAACCAGACCUCAGUCUUUUUAUCUUGUUAGUGUUCUUACUUGGCCUGUGGGGGUCUUGUUGCCUUCGCUUCCAGAAACUUUCAUGUGUUCAAAGAUGCUGUGAAAAAUUACAUGUAUUUUUACUUGAAACCCCCUAUUUUGAA